rnacentral:rRNA from 1 species
UACGUAGGGGGCUAGCGUUGUCCGGAUUUAUUGGGCGUAAAGAGCGUGUAGGCGGCCAUGUAGGUCCGGUGUGAAAACUCGAGGCUUAACCUCGAGAUGUCAUCGGAAACCAUUUGGCUAGAGUCCGGAAGAGGAGAGUGGAAUUCCUGGUGUAGCGGUGAAAUGCGCAGAUAUCAGGAGGAACACCGAUUGCGAAGGCAGCUCGCUGGGACGUUACUGACGCUGAGACGCGAAAGCGUGGGGAGCAAACAGG